rnacentral:tRNA from 10 species
CCAAAAGUGAUGUCCAAGUCCUAACCCCCAGAACAUGAGAAAGGGACCGUAUUUCGAGAAUGGGUCUUUGCAGAUGUAAUGAAGGAUCUUGAUAUCAUUCUGGAUUGAGGAUGGACUCUAGCUCCACUGACAGGUGUCCUUAUGAGAAAAAGGUAGAGGCAGAUUUGAGACACAGACACAGGGGAGACGGCCAUGAGAAGACAGAGGCAGAGAUUGGAGUGAAGCAACCACAGGCCAACAAGUCACCGAUACCAGAAGAAGCAAGGAAGGAGUCUGUCCUACAGUCUUCAAAGGGAGCGUGGAUCUACUGACACCCAGAUUUUGGACUUCUGACCUCCAGAGCGGUAAGAAAAUAAAUUUCUAUUGUUUUAGGCUACCAAGUUUAUUACAGCAGGCUCAGGAAACUAAUACUCUAGGUGACGUCUGCUCCUCCACCCCAUGCCUCUGCAUGCUUGGGUUACAACAGAGAGUGCUUUCCCCUUGGUUGAACAACACUUUUUUUCUUGAGAAAAGAAAACAUAAGGGUAAAGCAGUUUUUGGAAGGGUUACUCAGCCAGCUAGAUCGUCAGAAUCAACUCUGGUAGGAGUGGGCCACAAACAUCCAUCCUAGGGCAUCCGGAGAGAGUCAUUCUCCCUAACAAUAGCUCUGGGCAUGGCUCUGUAUUCGUCUGUUCUUGCAUUGCUAUAAAGAACUACCUGAGACUGGGUCAUUUAUAAAGAAAAGAGGUUAAAUUGGCUCACGGUUCCACAGGCUGUACAGGAAGCAUGGUUGGGAGGCCUCAGGAAACUUACAAUCAUGGCGGAAGGUGGAGGGCAAGCAGACACGUCCCACGUGACUGGAGCAGGAGGAAAAGAGAGCGAAGGGGGAGGUGCUGCACACUUUCAAACAACCAGAUCUCACGAGAACUCACUCACUAUCACGAGAACAGCAAGGGGGAAGUUUGCCCCCAUGAUCCAAUCACCUCCCGCCAGGCCCAUCUUCCAACAUUGGGGAUUAUAAUUUGACAUGAGAUUCGGGCAGGGCCACAAAUCCAAACCGUAUCAGGCUCCACAUUUUGUUUCUUUGUUUUUUUUUUUCCCUGUCCUUCCCUCUACCUGAAGCUCAUUUGAAAGCAAGUUUCCAUUGCUGCUAUUCCUUCCUUACUUUGGUCAGAAUCCUCUUUUUGUGGUAUCAUAAAUGGUUUCCAUGGAAACAAAAGGUUAGGAUAGAACAGUGCCAAUGUGCAUGUAAACUUCAGAAUUAAACAAGGGCUGUUGUUUUUGCCUGUCAUGGAGUUCCGUUCAUUCUGAACAUGUCACCGGGGACUUUGGAAUGUGUAUCCAUAACUCCCUGAUUUUCAACCACAUUCCAGCCUGCCUGACUCAUGAAGCGUGGAGCGACCCAGGAACAUCCCAGCUCCUCAUGUCCCACAUUCUUCAGGCUUUCUCUUAGUUUUGGCAUGUGCAUGUAAAUGUCAACAGCUGCUUCUGCUGACUCCUCGUCUCAAUUAAUCGCGGCUCUGUCUUCCGUUUGCUGAAGCCGAAGACCUCCCCGCUCUCUCAGAGCCCAUGUCUGGCACAUCAGCGAAUCUCGUUGGCACUGCCGUCAAACACAUCCAUCUAGGAUCUCCCCGCACUUCACGCCACCCACCGCGCUAGUCUGUGGAUCCCUGUUUCUCUCUUGGAUGUAGUAAUAGUCACAUAGCUGGACUUCUGCCCUGGCACUUCUUCAGCCCCUUGUUAGAGGAAUCCUGCUAAAUGUUGGAUGAUUUACCCCCCACCUCCCGCACCCCCCGCCACACACACAUAGGAGCUCCACUGGCUCCUCAUAACUCUCAGGGUGCCAGCCUGUCUCUGCCAUGACCCGAAAGCUCUCCGUCAUCUGUCUCCCGCCCCUCCCUCACUGACUCUAUCUGCCACCCUCUCCCUGUUGUCCACGCUGCCCCAGCCCCACAGGCCUCCUCCUGUUCCUCAGACUCCCCAGGGAUACUCCUGCCUCAGGGCCUUUGCCCUGGCUAUUCCCUCCAGCUACAAUGCUCUUCCUGAAUCUGCAUGAUUCGAUGCCCACUCCCCCAUUCUCAGCCUGUCCCCACAUCUCAGUGAGCCCUGCCCGGGCCACCCUGGAAAAUCUCAGCAUCCCAGGCUGGGCGUGGUGGCUCAUGCCUGUAAUCUCAGCACCUUGGGAGGCCAAGGCAGGCAGAUUGCUUGAGCUCAGGAGUUUGAGACCAGCCUGGCCAACAUGGCGAAACCCCAUCUCUCCUAAAAAUACAAAAAUUAGCUGAGUGUGGUGGUGCGUGCCUGUAAUCACAGCUACUUGGGAGGCUGAGGCAGCAGAAUCGAUUGAACCUGGGAGGCAGAGGUUUCAGUGAGCCGAGAUCAUGCCACUGCACUCCAGCCUGGGCGACAGAGCGAGACUCCAUCUAACACACACAAAAAAAGCACUUUUUUUUCAUCCUCCCAGCACUUCUUGUCCUCCUUGCUUCCCUUGUUUUUUUUUUUUUUCACAUUCACACAUAUGAUGAUCCAGCAUUCUACAUAUUUUAUUUAUCUUAUUUAUUUUCAGUCUUCUCCACUCAAAUGUAUGAUAUUUAAGGCAGGGGUUUUAAAAUGUCUUGUUCUUGGCCAGGCAUGGUGGCUCACACGUGUAAUUCUAGCACUUUGGGAGGCCGAGGCAGGUGGAGCACCUGAGGUCAGGAGUUCAAGACCAGCCUGGUCAACAUGGCGAAACCCCGUCUCUACUAAAAAUACGAAAUUAGCCAGGCGUGGUGGCGGACGCCUGUAAUCCCAGCUAUAAUCCCAGCUACUCAGGAGGCUGAAGCAGGAGAAUCGCUUGAACCUGGGAGGCAGAGCUUGCAGUGAGCCGAGAUCACGCCACUACACUGCAGCCUGGGUGACAGAGUGAGACUCCAUCUCAAAAAACAACAACAAAAUAAAUAAAUAAAUAAAAAUAAAAUGUCUUGUUCUCUUUUUUCCUCCAGUGCCCAGAUCAGCGCCUGAUAUAUACUUGGCACACAAUAACCACUCUUGAAAUUCAUGAAGGAAUCUGGACAUUUAGGGGGUUCACAGAAUCCGCCGCUUUUAGGGAAGAUUCUCUGCCUGAUGUGUGAGCGCUCUAACCUCUUCAUCUGUGUUCAGUCCCCUUGCAAUGCUUCUCUAAGAUCAAUAAAGGCAAAAACCAGGAGAUCCCAUAAAUCCCGCUGAGCCUGUCAUAGCUAUCAAAUUAUACCCAGAUAAAGCUUCUGGUGGCUAAUGACAUGGCCAUCACCCAGCGUGGACGUGGGCAGGAGGGGCUCUCCGGGAGCAUCUGGUCUGCUGUGGAGACACUUGUCAUCUGGAGGCUCUGUGGCUCUAAUGGAGGGUGAUGCUUUGAACGCGACUAUCUCCCCCAUAAAAAAAUAAAUAAAUAAUAAGUAUAAUUUAAAAAUAAACAAAGAUCUGGAUUUGCAGGCUACUUACUGUCGCAGGACCAAGAUUAAUGGCCAGUGGUAAGUUUUCGUGAAGAUCUUCUGUAGCCCGAUUAGCCGUGCUGGGAAUCCGGAGAGAUAAUGUCUUUUCACAUAUAAAAGAUCCUAUUGAUUUCCUGUUAGUAUCAUCCUGAAAAUGUGCAGUGUAUAUCUAUGAAGCAGAGACAAUCUUCCAUCACUUGUUUUAUGGGAAGAGAAUGGUUAUUGUAUCUCUUCCCAUAAAAUAUAAUCUCUUUUUCUCUUCCAAAAUCUACUCGUCCCUCUGGGAAUUUCCACUUGUAAUCUGUGGAAGUGAAUUGAUUUUUUUAUUUUGUUUUAUUUUUUGCAUGUGCCGGUAUUUUUAUAUUUGGCUUCUCUACAUUUUCUCAUUGUUCUCUGGAGUCUGGCUUUUCUAGAUUGUUAUUUGAGGUUGUCUAAAAAUAAGUAAAAAAAAAAAAAAAUCAGUCCCAUUGAAACACGCACAGCCAUGUGCCCGACAGUGGGUGUCAGGUUCCUGUGACUGCUCCCACUGCGGUGCCCCACCUUUCUCCCCCGUCGGGGCCUGGCGUUUGUAAGUUCCUCAGAGGGCUUCGGAGGCAGUAAGAGGUUGCCUGGUGGGUUCCAAUAGGAUGCCGAUGCAAAAUACCAAGUUACUGAAUGAAGGAAGUGCUCUUCCUGCUGACUGGGGUUCUCAGCGUUAUGUCUGGGCAUUGCUUCAGGAUCAAUUAAGACGCAAGGGCAGAGUCCUACAUAUUUAAAUACUGUGCCCUGAGCAGCGGCUUCCUAAGCUAAUGAGUUUGGCUGAGAAGACCCCAGCAAUGCAGUCCUGUCCAGACCUUAAAUAGAGAGCUUUGCAAACUGGAGCUCCAGCUAUGAAGCCAAUCCUCAUGGUUCUGCCUGCACCUCUUUAUUAAGUGUCACCCUCCGAUCUCUCAGCUGGUUGGGAAAAAUCUGUAUCAGUCAUUACCCUUGCUCAAGCCCAGACUGGGUCAUCUGGCCACAGCAGGAGAUGCAGCGGGCAACAGCAGCAGGAGAUGCAGCGGGGAACAGCAGCAGGCAUGGAGCUGAGACAAGAUUUCACUGUGAAGACAGUUUCCGGGGAGAGGCUGGGUCCGAAGCUGCAUCUCCAUGUCCCAGGAGUACCUUUCAAAGCUUCCCCUGUCCUGGCCUCAAGCUCUAGGAGCUUUGAAAAAAUGCUUGCAUUUUGGGCCGGGCCUGGUGGCUCAUGCCUGUAAUCCCUGCACUUUGGGAGGCUGAGGCGGACAGAUCGCUUGAGGUCAGGAGUUUGAGACCAGCCUAGCCAAUAUGGCGAAACCCUAUCUCUGCUAAAAAUACAAAAAUUAGCUGGGUGGUGGUGGGUCAGCACCUGUAAUCCCAGCUACUUGGGAGGCUGAGGCAGGAGAAUCACUUGAGCCUGGGAGGCAGAGGUUGCAGUGAGCUGAGAUCACGCCACUGGACUCCAGCGUGGGUGACAGAGUGAUACGCUGUCUCAAAAAAAAAAAAAAAGCCUGGAAAAUAUGCUUGCAUUUUGAAUAUCUAUCUAUCUAUCUAUAUAUUUUGUAUCUGUAAAAGAAAAAAUAUUCAGGACUCUCUAAAUGUAUUAUGCCAUGUGGGGAGUUAAGCCCUGGAAACUCCCAUAGCAUGUAUGCAACUUCUGCUCUUAGGUGAUAGUUUAACUCUCUUCCUCAUUGCUCUUGUUCUGUAAAUGACUGGGAGAGACCAGAGACCAAACCUCCUCCCCUUCCAAUCACUGAUCUUUGUUGUAGAUGAACUGCCUUCUUUAUUGUCCCGUGCCUAACCUAGACCAGAUGGGACAAAAGACCCCAUGUCUAUUACAUCUUUAGUGUGGAAGGUUAAAUAUACCUUUCCCAAAAAGAAAGACUACCUCAACCAACCAGAUAUUGUAAUUAUGCAUUAAACCUUAUAUAGAAAGACGUUGAGAUUCUGUUCCGCUUCCCCAAGCUUUGUCUAUAUAAACAGUUGCAAACUUCUACACUUUGGAGCACUGACUUCCAUUCUUUGGAAUCUGUGCUUCCCAGGCAGCUCAUCUUCAAACUUUGUGCCUGAAUAAACUCCCUUUAAACCAGACUCUGACCAUUUUGAUUAUUUUAAGUUGACAUAUCAAAAUAGUAUACAUACAAUAACAAGUAAAAAAAAGCAGAAAGAUAAUAAUAUUGAAAAGCGGCAAUCUCACCCCAGUCCCCAAAGCGAUUUUAACUGUUUCUUUCUUUAAUUCUUCUGGAAUUUCCUCUGCUGCUCUAUGAUCAUACCUCUUGAUGUGGUUUGGUUCUGUGUCCCCACCCAAAUCUCAUCUUGAAUUGUAAUUCCCACAUGUGGAGGGAGGGACCCGUGAUCCCCACGUGUCAGGGGAGGGAGGUGAUAGGGUCAUGGGGACAGUUUUGCUCAUGCUUCUUUUGAGAUAGGGUCUCACCCUGUUGCCCAGGCUGAAGUGCAGUGGUACUUCUCCUCUUCUCCUCCUUCUUCCCCUCCUCCUCCUCCUCCUCCUCCUUCUUCUCCUUCUCCUUCUUUCUUCUUUCUUUUUCUUCUUCUUUUGAGAUAGGGUCUCACCCUGUUGCCCAGGCUGAAGUGAUAAUGAGUGAGUUCUCACGAGACCUGAUGGUUUUAUAAGGGGCUCUUCCUGCUUCACUUUCUCUCUCUCUCCUGCUGCCAUGUAAGACAUGCCUGCUUCCCCUUCCGCCACGAUGGUAAGUUUCCUGAGGCCUCCCAGUCACGCAGAACUGUGAGCCAAUUAAACCUCUUUCCUUUAUAAAUUACCCACUCUUGGGUAGUAUCUUUAUAGCAGUGUGAAAACAGACUAAUACACCUCUCUGAUUUGAUUUAUCAGUUUUGGACAAUACCUUCCAACUCCUAAAUAGGAAGAUGAAAAUUUAGCUCAAAAACAUUCUACCUCUUCCCUCUCUGCCCUUUUCUCUCUUUUUAUUUUUCGUCACUGCUUUAACGGAUAUAUAAUUCACAGGUCAUAAAAUUCACUCUGUUAAAGUGUACCAUUCAUUGGUUUUUAGUACACAGAUCCACAAAGUUGUGCAACCAUCUCUAAAUCCACUGUGCACCAUUCUCUAAAACCAGAACGUUUUUGUCCCUGCAAAAAAGAAGCCCCUAUCUUCAUUAGCAAGGACUCUUAUUAUUCAUUCUUCUCAACCCCUGGCAUCCUCACCAAUGCUUGUUAUUUUUCUGUCUGUCCUUCUCCUCCUUUUCUCCUUCUCCUCUUCUCGUUCUUCCCCUCCUCCUCCUUCUUCUCCUUCUUGUUCUUUCUUCUUCUUCUUCUUUUGAGAUGGAGUCUCACCCUGUUGCCCAGGCUGAAGUGCAGUGUCAUGAUCACAGCUCACUGCCCUCAACUUCUUGGACUUCUUCUUCUUUUGAGAUAGGGUCUCACUCUGUUGCCCAGGCUGAAGUGCAGUGGCAUGAUCACGGCUCACUGUCCUCAGCCUCUUGGGCCUCUUCUUCUUUUGAGAUAGGGUCUCACCCUAUUGCCCAGGCUGAAGUGCAGUGGCAUGAUCACAGCUAACUGUCCUCAACCUCUUGAGCCUCUUCUUUUGAGAUAGGGUCUCACCCUAUUGCCCAGGCUGAAGUGCAAUGGCAUGAUCACAGCUAACUGUCCUCAACCUCUUGAGCCUCUUCUUCUUUUGAGAGAGGGUCUCAUUCUGUUGCCCAGGCUGAAGUGCAAUGGCAUGAUCAUAGCUCACUGCCUUCAACAUCUUGGGCCCAAGCCAUCCUCCCACCUCAACCUUCCUCCUGAGUAGCUGGGACCACAGAUGCACACCACCAUGCCCGAUUAUUUUUUUAAAAAAUAUUUGUAGAGAUGAGGUUUCGCUAUGUUGCCCAGGCUUGUCUAAACUCUUGGGCUCAAGUGGUCCUCCUGCCUUGGCCUCCCAGAGUGCUGAGAUUACAGGCAUGAGUUACCUCACCUGGCUGUCUUUCUUCUUAUAGCCAUCAUGAUGGAUGUAAAGUGGUGUCUAAUUGUGGUUUUGAUUUGCAUAUAUCCCUAAUUAUUUUGAGCUUGUUUUUUCACGAGCUUAUUGGUCAUUUAUAUAUUUUCUUUGGAGAAAUGUCUAUACAAACCUUUCAGUCAUUUUUAAAUUGGAUUGCCUGUUUAUUGUUAAGUUGUAACAAUUGUUUACAUAUUCUGGAUACUAGACCCUUACAGAUAUAUGAUUGCAUAUAUUUUCUCUCAUUCUAUGGGUUGUCCUUUUUAUUUUCUUGAAUGGUGUCCUUUACAUGACCAAAGUUUAAAUUUUUAAUGAAGUUCAAUUUAUUUUUUCUUUUGUCACUUGCACUUUUCGAGAUGUUUCUAAGAAAUUAUUGCCUAAUCCAAGGUCGUGAAGAUUUUUUACUCCUGUGUUUUCUUCUACGAUUUGUAUAGUCUUCGCUCUUACAUUCAGAGCUGAUUGUGCCAUGUGGGGAGUUAAGCCCUGGAAACUGUCACAUAGCAUGCUUGCAACUGCUGCUUCUUAGGUUAUAGUUUAACUGUCUUCCUCAUUGCUCUGAUAGGGAUUGUGCUCAAUCUGUGGACUAAUAUGGGAGUUGGCAUCUUAACAGUAUUGUCUUCCAAUCUGUGAACAUAGAUUCCAUUUAUCUAGAAUGUUAAUUUCUUUCUUUCUUGAUUUCUUUUUUUUUUUUUUUC